CCACAGGAACACCCAAAAACAUCUUCCAGAACAACCCUAGACUCUUCCUUGGCCUGACGGAAAGAAAUGUGCACAGCAGUGUUGCCGAAAUGCUCAUGUCUUCACCAAUCUUGCAGUUGCUGUCUAGAAGAUCAUUCUUGAUUUCCUGAACUGCUACAAAUGAUUUGACUGGCAGAAGGUGCACGAAAUCGGUCACGUGACAAAUGGUCCGACUCGAUGUGACCGAAGCUUCUCUAGUGAAAAGAAUCAUGACUUGACUCGAUAUCCUCUUCUGGUACCGUCAAUUAAUCAACCCAAGUCAUUGUUUUUUUUUCAUUGAAAUCACAAAUGUACAGAAUAAUGCAUGUAUUUGUAUGGGUGAAUCAGAAAUGGACGUUGUAAAUAAUUAAUUAAUGUGGCUAACGUAACAUGUAACGGAAACGAUUCAAGUGUGCGGUCUCUGUACAACCUUGUUUAAAGUCAUGUUUACGGUAGUAGAGUAUGGUAUGUGGUAUUAAAACACUGUUGUUUUAAAUGAUAACGAUAAAAUACUACUGACUGCGUCUUGACUUUAUCAUUUUGAGAUGAUUAAACAAAUAUAAAACAGGCA